rnacentral:lncRNA from 1 species
GCGCAACUCAGACCACUGGAGCGGAGUAGUAUCUGGAGUUUCUGUAACAUCCUUUCCCUUUUUUUUUUUUUUUAAAGCCAGAGCCUCUGUCGCCCAGGCUGCAGUACAGUGGCGUAAUCUCAGCUCACUGCAACCUCUGCCUCCCGGGAUCAAGCGAUUCUCCUUCCUCAGCCUCCCGAGUAGCUGGGAUUACAGGUGCCCGUCGGCUAAUUUUUGGUUUUUUGUUUUGUUUUGUUUUGUUUUUUUUGUUUUUGUUUUUGUUUUGAAACGGAGUCUCUGUCGCCCAGGCUGGAGUGCAACGGCGUGAUCUCGGCUCACUGCAACCUCCGCCUCCCGGGUUCAAGCGAUUCUUCUGUCUCGGCCUCCCAAGUAGCUGGGAUUACAGGCGUCCACCACCAGGCGCAGCUAAUUUUUUGUAUUUUUAGUAGACACGAGGUUUUGCCAUGUUGGCCAGGCUGGUUUCGAACUCCUGGCCUCAAGUGAUCCGCCUGCCUCGGCCUCCCAAAGUGCUGGGAUUACAGGCGACACCCUUUGCUUUUUUUUUUUUUUUUUUUUUGAGGCGGAGUAUCACUCUGUUGCCCAGGCUGGAGUGCAAUGGCGUGAUCUCGGCUCACUGCAACCUCUGCCUCCCAGGUUCAAGAGAUUCUUCUGCCUCAGCCUCCCAAGUAGCUGGCACUGCAGACACGCACCACCACACCCAGAAUAGUGAAAUAAGGUGGCCAAGGAGGCAGAGAUGGAGUCAGGGACUCUGUGAUCAACCCUGAGGAUUGGGAAGGAACUAUACAUACCAGGAGGCAAGGAGCACUGGGGGCCCUCCUGGAACUGCCUGUCACAGCGUCCUCAAAGCAGUAUGAUGGUACUUCCAGUACCCCAGUGACACCUAGCCUGAGAAAGAAGCAGAGAUAAAGUCUAUAGAGGAAGAGAGCAUCUGAAUGACGUUUGAGUCCCUGGAUCCACUGUGUGAAGCCAGAGCCACUCCUGCAAGUGUUUUGUUUAGGUUUAAAUUUGAUUGAGAUUUUUAUUACUUCAAAGUAAAAAA